rnacentral:rRNA from 1 species
AGCGAACGCUGGCGGCAUGCCUUACACAUGCAAGUCGAACGAACCCUUCGGGGUUAGUGGCGGACGGGUGAGUAACACGUGGGAACGUGCCUUUAGGUUCGGAAUAACUCAGGGAAACUUGUGCUAAUACCGAAUGUGCCCUUCGGGGGAAAGAUUUAUCGCCUUUAGAGCGGCCCGCGUCUGAUUAGCUAGUUGGUGAGGUAAAGGCUCACCAAGGCUACGAUCAGUAGCUGGUCUGAGAGGAUGACCAGCCACAUUGGGACUGAGACACGGCCCAAACUCCUACGGGAGGCAGCAGUGGGGAAUCUUGCGCAAUGGGCGAAAGCCUGACGCAGCCAUGCCGCGUGAAUGAUGAAGGUCUUAGGAUUGUAAAAUUCUUUCACCGGGGACGAUAAUGACGGUACCCGGAGAAGAAGCCCCGGCUAACUUCGUGCCAGCCGCCGCAGUAACAC